UCAAAUUUGAAACGACUCUCGGCAACGGAUAUCUCGGCUCUCGCAUCGAUGAAGAACGUAGCGAAAUGCGAUACUUGGUGUGAAUUGCAGAAUCCCGUGAACCAUCGAGUUUUUGAACGCAAGUUGCGCCCGAAGUCAUCAGGCCGAGGGCACGCCUGCCUG
rnacentral:rRNA from 1 species